AUACGGAGGGGGUUAGCGUUGUUCGGAAUUACUGGGCGUAAAGCGCACGUAGGCGGAUUGGAAAGUAGGGGGUGAAAUCCCAGGGCUCAACCCUGGAACUGCCUCCUAAACUAUCAGUCUAGAGUUCGAGAGAGGUGAGUGGAAUUCCAAGUGUAGAGGUGAAAUUCGUAGAUAUUUGGAGGAACACCAGUGGCGAAGGCGGCUCACUGGCUCGAUACUGACGCUGAGGUGCGAAAGCAUGGGGAGCAAACAGGAUUAGAUACCCUAGUAGUCC
rnacentral:rRNA from 1 species